GUGACAGCCGCCGCGGUAAUACGGAGGAUCCAAGCGUUAUCCGGAAUCAUUGGGUUUAAAGGGUCCGUAGGCGGUUUUGUAAGUCAGUGGUGAAAGCCCAUCGCUCAACGGUGGAACGGCCAUUGAUACUGCAAGACUUGAAUUACUAGGAAGUAACUAGAAUAUGUAGUGUAGCGGNGAAAAUGCUUAGAUAUUACAUGGAAUACCAAUUGCGAAGGNAGGUUACUACUAGUGGAUUGANGCUGAUGGACGAAAGCGUGGGGAGCGAAC
rnacentral:rRNA from 1 species